AGAGUUUGAUCCUGGCUCAGGACGAACGCUGGCGGCGUGCCUAAUACAUGCAAGUAGAACGCUGAAGAGAGGAGCUUGCUCUUCUUGGAUGAGUUGCGAACGGGUGAGUAACGCGUAGGUAACCUGCCUUGUAGCGGGGGAUAACUAUUGGAAACGAUAGCUAAUACCGCAUAACAAUGGAUGACACAUGUCAUUUAUUUGAAAGGGGCAAUUGCUCCACUACAAGAUGGACCUGCGUUGUAUUAGCUAGUAGGUGAGGUAAUGGCUCACCUAGGCGACGAUACAUAGCCGACCUGAGAGGGUGAUCGGCCACACUGGGACUGAGACACGGCCCAGACUCCUACGGGAGGCAGCAGUAGGGAAUCUUCGGCAAUGGGGGCAACCCUGACCGAGCAACGCCGCGUGAGUGAAGAAGGUUUUCGGAUCGUAAAGCUCUGUUGUAAGUCAAGAACGGGUGUGAGAGUGGAAAGUUCACACUGUGACGGUAGCUUACCAGAAAGGGACGGCUAACUACGUGCCAGCAGCCGCGGUAAUACGUAGGUCCCGAGCGUUGUCCGGAUUUAUUGGGCGUAAAGCGAGCGCAGGCGGUUUGAUAAGUCUGAAGUUAAAGGCUGUGGCUCAACCAUAGUUCGCUUUGGAAACUGUCAAACUUGAGUGCAGAAGGGGAGAGUGGAAUUCCAUGUGUAGCGGUGAAAUGCGUAGAUAUAUGGAGGAACACCGGUGGCGAAAGCGGCUCUCUGGUCUGUAACUGACGCUGAGGCUCGAAAGCGUGGGGAGCGAACAGGAUUAGAUACCCUGGUAGUCCACGCCGUAAACGAUGACUGCUAGGUGU
rnacentral:rRNA from 1 species